GACGAACGCUGGCGGCGUGCUUAACACAUGCAAGUCGAACGGUAAGGCCCUUCGGGGUACACGAGUGGCGAACGGGUGAGUAACACGUGGGUGAUCUGCCCUGCACUUCGGGAUAAGCCUGGGAAACUGGGUCUAAUACCGGAUAGGACUCCGGACUGCAUGGUCUGGGGUGGAAAGCUUUUGCGGUGUGGGAUGGGCCCGCGGCCUAUCAGCUGGUUGGUGGGGUGAUGGCCUACCAAGGCGACGACGGGUAGCCGGCCUGAGAGGGUGACCGGACACACUGGGACUGAGAUACGGCCCAGACUCCUACGGGAGGCAGCAGUGGGGAAUAUUGCACAAUGGGCGCAAGCCUGAUGCAGCGACGCCGCGUGAGGGAUGACGGCCUUCGGGUUGUAAACCUCUUUCAGCACCGACGAAGCGCAAGUGACGGUAGGUGCAGAAGAAGGACCGGCCAACUACGUGCCAGCAGCCGCCGUAA
rnacentral:rRNA from 1 species